rnacentral:lncRNA from 1 species
UUUUUCAAAUUUUCUUGAAUCAAAUGCAAGAAACUUCUUCUCUUUUGUUUUUCUUUUCUUAAGAACAAUAACAAUACAAAAACUGUUUUUAUGGCUUUUCGGUUUAUGAUGAAAACAAAUGCAAGCAAAUGAAAUAUGAUGCAAGGAUAGAUAUCACCUUAGUCAGGAGCUUGAGCUCUGAUACCAAAAUGUUGUAGGCACAGGGGGGGUAACCCACGAAUUGGUUGAAUGGUGGAACCAAGGUUUAAACCUG